rnacentral:rRNA from 1 species
AGGACUAACGCUGGCGGCGUGCCUAACACAUGCAAGUCGAACGGGGUAGCAAUACCCAGUGGCAGACGGGUGAGUAACACGUGGUCAACCUACCUCUGUGUGGGGGAUAACUAGCCGAAAGGUUAGCUAAUACCGCAUACGAUCGUUUUGAGGCAUCUCGAGACGAUGAAAGGAGCAAUCCGCACGGAGAGGGGACUGCGUCCCAUUAGUUAGUUGGUGGGGUAACGGCCUACCAAGACUCCGAUGGGUAGCUGGCUUGAGAGAGCGACCAGCCACACUGGAACUGAGAAACGGUCCAGACUCCUACGGGAGGCAGCAGUGAGGAAUUUUCCGCAAUGGGCGAAAGCCUGACGGAGCGACGCCGCGUGUGGGAUGAAGGCCUUCGGUCGUAAACCACUGUCGAAGGGGACGAUAAUGACGGUACCCUUGGAGGAAGCCCGGCUAACUACGCGCCAGCAGCCGC